ACAAGCGGUGGAGCAUGUGGUUAAUUCGAAGCAACGCGAAGAACCUUACCAGGUCUUGACAUCCGAUGCUAUUUCUAGAGAUAGAAAGUUACUUCGGUACAUCGGUGACAGGUGGUGCAUGGUUGUCGUCAGCUCGUGUCGUGAGAUGUUGGGUUAAGUCCCGCAACGAGCGCAACCCCUAUUGUUGGUUGCCAUCAUUCAGUUGGGCACUCUAGCGAGACUGCCGGUAAUAAACCGGAGGAAGGUGGGAUGACGUCAAAUCAUCAUGCCCCUUAUGACCUGGGCUACACACGUGCUACAAUGGUUGGUACAACGAGUUGCGAGUCGGUGACGGCGAGCUAAUCUCUUAAAGCCAAUCUCAGUUCGGAUUGUAGGCUGCAACUCGCCUACAUGAAGUCGGAAUCGCUAGUAAUCGCGGAUCAGCACGCCGCGGUGAAUACGUUCCCGGGCCUU
rnacentral:rRNA from 1 species